rnacentral:rRNA from 1 species
AUUGAACGCUGGCGGCAGGCCUAACACAUGCAAGUCGAGCGGAUGAAGGGAGCUUGCUCCUGGAUUCAGCGGCGGACGGGUGAGUGAUGCCUAGGAACCUGCCUGGUAGUGGGGGAUAACGUCCGGAAACGGGCGCUAAUACCGCAUACGUCCUGAGGGAGAAAGUGGGGGAUCUUCGGACCUCACGCUAUCAGAUGAGCCUAGGUCGGAUUAGCUAGUUGGUGGGGUAAAGGCCUACCAAGGCGACGAUCCGUAACUGGUCUGAGAGGAUGAUCAGUCACACUGGAACUGAGACACGGUCCAGACUCCUACGGGAGGCAGCAGUGGGGAAUAUUGGACAAUGGGCGAAAGCCUGAUCCAGCCAUGCCGCGUGUGUGAAGAAGGUCUUCGGAUUGUAAAGCACUUUAAGUUGGGAGGAAGGGCAGUAAGUUAAUACCUUGCUGUUUUGACGUUACCAACAGAAUAAGCACCGGCUAACUUCGUG